rnacentral:rRNA from 1 species
AUUGAACGCUGGCGGCAUGCCUUACACAUGCAAGUCGAACGGCAGCGCGGGAGCAAUCCUGGCGGCGAGUGGCGAACGGGUGAGUAAUACAUCGGAACGUGCCCAAUCGUGGGGGAUAACGCAGCGAAAGCUGUGCUAAUACCGCAUACGAUCUACGGAUGAAAGCAGGGGAUCGCAAGACCUUGCGCGAAUGGAGCGGCCGAUGGCAGAUUAGGUAGUUGGUGGGGUAAAGGCUCACCAAGCCUUCGAUCUGUAGCUGGUCUGAGAGGACGACCAGCCACACUGGGACUGAGACACGGCCCAGACUCCUACGGGAGGCAGCAGUGGGGAAUUUUGGACAAUGGGCGAAAGCCUGAUCCAGCCAUGCCGCGUGCAGGAUGAAGGCCUUCGGGUUGUAAACUGCUUUUGUACGGAACGAAACGGUCUUUUCUAAUAAAGAAGGCUAAUGACGGUACCGUAAGAAUAAGCACCGGCUAACUACGUG